UUAAUACUUUUAUACUAUACGCAUAGUUCAAUAAUUUUCAACAUUUUCUUUAGUUUUAAUACUCAGAUUUUGGAAUAUAAAUUUUCUCUCUAAUCUUUAAGCUUGGAAACGGUUGUUGGAUUAUUAUUGGAUAAAUAAAUUGAUUUUAAGCAACUCAGUUAUUCGGUACUCAAAAUAGGUAAAAUCAAACCUUGCAAAAUAAUAUUUAUAGCAUCACCGAAGUUUUGAUAGGGAAUAUUUAAAAUGAGAAAAAAAUCAAUAUCGAAAAACAUACAAGAUUAUUAUGCAUGAUCUGACAUCCACAGAUAAACCUCUAGUAAGCAGGAUGCUAAAAAUAUUUUGUAAUAAAUUACUAAUAUAUUGACAGCAUUAAUCGCGUUUGAGUGGCAACCGCUUGGCAGAAGAAGACCUGGUCGCCCUGUACACACUUGGCGACGCACCGUGGAGAAUGAGAUGAGGACUGCCACCGUGACCUGGAGAGAUGUCAAGGAGCAAGCGCAAGACAGGGUAAAGUGGAGACAACUUGUGAGGGCCCUAUGUACCAGCGGAGUACCCUAGGACUACAACAACAACAACAUAUUGGUUACAAAUAGAAUUCAUGGAUAGAAGAUUUAGAUUUGCUGGUGGCUGGUAGCAAGCGGGUGGUGUAAGCUUAGGCUUAGCCAGGAGGGGCAGGAUAACAUCUGCCCAAAUGCUCUCUCUUUAAAAACUCUGCAGCUGCUUUAUGAGUGCAUCCCCCACAGGAUCGAAGUCGCCUACUGUGAAUAUGUAGUGAAUAACUCUUCGACACGGACGAAAUUGGACCAUUGAACAACUUUUAGUAUAAAAUAAUAGCCUUUGGUAUAAACACUGUUAAUAGGUAACUAAAUCUUCGAGUUUUACCAAAAUUAAAUUGAUAUUUCAAAUAAAGUCAAUUUAUAAAAAUUC